UCGGUUACUUCAGCCGUCAUCUAAUAUGGCAGAUUUAGAGAAAACCGUCCUUGGCUUAAUGGAGCCAUCGGUGAAGUUUUAUUGAGACUCUAACCCCUCAAUGUGAAGGCUAGAGUCUACGCUACUGGUACAAGAAUUCUACAAGUUUUAUCGUUUGUUUUAAAUAUUGAGUUUCAGCUGAGGCAGAAGACUGUUUGAAUAAUGUUAACAGUCAAAUUUCAAAUGUGUGCUGUUGAAUUCACAGAAUGUUCUACCAUUCUCCUGCAUAACACAUUUUCAAGUGUGUGCAUGGUUCUUAUUUAUUUUUUUAACUUGCAGUGUCUUCUAUUCCUCUACAUUUUACACCAAAAGCCAGUACUUUGGUUCAGAAUGGUUUAAAAGAGGCUUCCAGAGAAUAAUCCCACCCACUGCUCAACUACCACCCCUGUUUGUUACAGACCCGAUGCCCUUGGCUGAUGGAGGAACUGCAUCUGGAGGGCGACCAUGAAUCUACCUGCCAACAGGUGGUACUGGUUUGCACUGGUUUGCAUGAACUGAACAUGGUGGACAUGAGGCAAAUUCCCUGCUUUUUGCUCCAGACCAGGACUCUGUGAUGGAGGGGUGGUGAUGGAGCCGUGCUGAGGACCUGCUGGUGAAGGACGUCCCUCGGUGGGGGGGCAAGGACAGCCGACCCUGAGGAUCCGCUCGGAUCUAUGAUCGCUACGAUGCGACUGCAGAGGUCUCUGGAAGACCAGGAGUCCUUGCCUGAGGAGAGCUGAUGGAGGAGCCGUGCACCUGGAGAACCAUGAGUCUGCCUGCCAACAAGUAGUACUGGAAGGCGGGGCAUAGGGAGGUGAUGGAGGACCUGCCUGGUGAAGGACGUCAGGGUGGGCCGAG